ensembl:snRNA U6 U6 spliceosomal RNA
GUGCUUGCUUUUGCAGCACAUAUACUAAAAUUGGAAUGAUACAGAGAAGAUUAGCAUGGCCCCUGCACAAGGAUGACAUGCAAAUUCAUGAAGCAUUCCAUAUUUUU